GACCACGUAGCCCAGUUGGCAGAGCAUUGGGCUAGUAUUCCAAAGGUCGUAGGUUCGAUUCCCACCGUGGUCA
rnacentral:tRNA from 1 species